CCAGAAAGCCCACGUCAGUCACACCUGCUGCAGAGCCUGAGUCUGGUCCCCACAGACCCAGUAUGAUGGCGAGGUGUAGGCCCUCUCCCAGCAGCCCCUGGUCUGAUGGGGAAGACAUAGUUUUUGCCCUGGGCAGCUCAGGCUUUGACUAGGGCAAUACUACCUGGCCGAGGGCAGCCCUCAGACUGAGAGGACUCCCCUUACCCUGGACAGUCCCCAAUACAGUGGCUUGGACUGUGGAGGUCCCAGUGUGUUGGAGGGGAUGCAGCCUCUGCCCAGGAGAAGCCCCCAGUCUGAAGGAGUCUGUCUGAACCCUUGGUCUAGGGUCUUGUUCUUCCCCACAGCCUGGACUGAGUCUGAAAACAGUUCUGGGUCUGUUGCUACCAGCAAAUCCCAGCCCCCGCCUUCAGUGUCAGAGCGGAGGAGAGUGGGGCCACAGAGGCCACAGCUGUGACUUCCCCAGCUCCCCACCAUCUCUCUUCAGGCCUCACACCCUCCUGCCACCUCUAGACACUUCACUCUGCCCUUUCCAGGGCCUGGGGUCUAUGGCCAGCCAACAACCACAAGACUCAUUCAUUUGAGGUUCUUUCCUGCCCCUCUCCUCUUCACUCUGGAGAGCUCUGAGGUGAAAACAAAUAAGAACAAAGGGUGUGUUUUGUCACUGACUGAGAGAAAGUUUUCCAUCUCUGCUUAGUUAAGGGUUUUUCUCCCUUUGCUCCAAAUUACAACUCCUCCCUGAGGGCUGAGACUCUGGCCCCUUGCCCCAGCCCCCAUCAACUGAGUCUGGGCCCAUCUGCAGCUCAGCAUGAACCCGGCAGCAGCAUGGCUGGAAGGGCCAGAUCCCGAGUUUCUUGUGGGCUAUUUCUGAGCCCUGCAAAUCCCAGGGGCUGGGAUUGUAACCUCAAGUGGAAGACUCAUGGCUUGGAGGCAGGACUCUUGGGCCAAGGGUGUGAUAACUGAGACCUGAGACCCCAGGACAAGGGGCCUGCCCAGGGUCCCAGAAUGAGUGAGUAGCUGAGGCAGGCCCUGACACCUAAUCCAGGGCUCUUCCAUUAUCCCACAUAGACAGGCAGGCACAUUUGCCAGGACUCCAGGCUUAUAAAUCUGCCCAAACAUCAUUCCUUCUGGUCAAAGCACGAGCUGAGAUUCUCCAGAUGUAAGGGAGGGUCUUGGAGAGCAGAGGAGCUGGAUUCCCUUCUCCUCACCAAUGCAAGUGGGGGAGGGGCACAUCCCUUCUCCCACCCCUGAGUCAAGCUCCAUUCAAGGCAAUGCCGCCUCCCUGGGCCUGUUUGGCCUGGCAACCACCCAACCUCUGCCUCCCAGCCAGUGACCAACCCUUAACGAGGGGAGAGGGAAUGGCUCUAAGGAAGCGAGGGAGACAAGGAAGGCAGAGGGAAGGCCUGGGGUCCAGAGGUGCAGCUGAGGGUUUGUGAUGUGCCAGUCACACUUCUGCUGGGCACACUGUGAGUCUUCACUGGGCACCAGACUGUCUGGCGCUGGGCUCUUUCACACCCUGCUGUGGGGACAGACUCCCAGGCUCUUUCUUUCCCCUCACAAACCUUUAAUUCACUAGCAUAGUCUGAGAUGGCUCCUUCCGCCUCUUUGCAGCUAGCGGGGCCCCUCACUUCCCAGGCAGAAGAGGGGGUGGUGGGCAGUUUUCUCAUUCUAGGCCGCCAGUGAAGGUGACAGGUCUCAGAAUAAAAUCCUGUAGGAAACUCUGAGUGUGUGCAUGUGUGUGUUUGGGGGAAGGAUAGAGAGGAUGAAUAGGAAUGGAACUUGAAAGAAAAUGACUGUUUUCCUGAGAGAGGAGCAGGGUAGGGGGUGACACUAGUGUGUCUGCCAGGAAGAAAGGACCUGGCCGGGGGCCAGCAGCCUGAGCCCUUGCCCCUGUCUCCCUCCAGAUUUGCUCCCAUGGAGAAAGCUAACCGCUUCAGGCCCUGUCCCAAACUCCUGGCCAGGGAGGGCUGGUUUUCGUGGUGACCCCCAGGCCCUAGUAGCACCUGGCAUUGUACCCCCUGACACCCUUGCUCCACAGUUCAAAAAGAAAGAAGGAAGGAAACAGUAUGGGAAGGGGGAGGAGAGCUAAAAGCUUUGCCUGGACAGAACCCUGGAGUUCUGACUCCCAGCAGGGAAUUGACACUGUAGAAAGAACAUGGGUUAGAAUCCCAGUAUCUCUACUUGCAAACUUACAUAACAAAUUAUGGAAUCUCUCCAAGCCUCAGUUUCCUUAUGUGCAAAAUGGGGUUGAUAAGACUUUCCCCAUAGUAAGAUGUGAGGCUUAAAUGAUAUAGCAACGUGGAACUGCUGGGCAUGUAGUGCAUACUCAAUAAAUAUACAUUCCCCUCUUCUUUCCUUUUCUACCCAGAUACACCCUGGUGCCCCCAGCCUCUGCCAGCUCAGUGAAGGAACAGAAGGCCUGCAGAUAGAUGCCCAGGGUGCUGAAGAGGUUUCUCCAUUUUGGCUGGCCCAGACUGCCGAUAUCUUCCAGAACUGCUCAACUUCUCCAGUUUUAUUUCCUGUUCUCAAUCACAUAGCAGCUGUUCUCUGGUAAGUGUCACACAGUCUCACCCUACACGUGCUAGCACAGUCCCCAGGCAAGGACUUGCAGUGAACCCCAUACAGACUUAUGGGAACCCCCUUCAGUAUAGCUCCCUCCUCUGUAAUGCACCGCUCCACGGAUUCCAGCUACUUCAACAGCCCUGAACUCUGAGCUUUGUCCCUCAGCACGGCAGGACUGCUGUGCUCUGCUUGAGGUCUAGUUCCCCGAACUGCAGUCGGGAAUUGUCUCCAAGCAAAGGACGGGGGCAAUUGUGGGGCUCACUUUCUGGGUUUUCCUUCUGUGGAUGGUUGUUCCCUAAAUGACACAACAAUAUCUCCCAUUCCUACAUUCUUCUCACAACAUGACUUUAACACUCCUCCCAGCAAUUGUGGGGUCUACCUUCCCUACCCUUGAACCUGGGAGGGGGCUGUGACUGCUCUAGCCAAUAGAGAGCAGUAGAAGCAAUAGUAGGUCAUAAAAAGGAUAUAGUUCCUCUCUCUCCUCCCCACUCCCAACACUCAUCCCCAGGGGCCAGACACCAUGUUAUAAGGAAGCCCAAACUAGCCCACAUGGACAGACCAUGUGGAAAGGUCCACGUGAAAAAUAACUGAGGCCACCAGCCAACAGCCAGCAUCGACUGCCAGAUAUCAACACACUUCAGAUGAUUCCAGUCCCAGACACUGUAGAAUGGAGACAAGCUGCCUUGAUGUGCCCUAUUUGAAAUUUCGACUCACAGUAUCUGUGAACUCAAUAAAUGGUUGUUUUACUUCA